CUCAACCAAAAAAUUAGUUCAAAUCAGCUACAUAAAGCCUCUGUAACAUCCUGGGUUUGCAAAACUAACUUAUUAAGCAGAGUUUAGAACAAAAAUAAAUGUUAUAUAAAAAAAAGAAAAAGAUAUUUACAGUUGAAGAUUGCUUUACUGACCUCAGAAGAGAAAUUCCUGUGCUUAUGGAGUCAAAAAGGAGACAAAGGAAGAGUGCCAAAGACUAAAAAAUAUAUGAGAGUUUUUUGCGUGGGGAAGGAGUAAUAGGAGAUGAAGGCGCAGCGGCAGAGUUGUGGAGAAGGUUUUGAUUUUGU
rnacentral:lncRNA from 1 species